CCCCCACGAUGCACUUCCGGCCACGGUGCAGAGCGGCUUGGACGGGCCAGACGUGGCACUGUGUCUUGAUUGGAAGAAGCUUCCGUGGCACCCGUGGACCCUAAGGCUGUAGGUGAACGCACCCCCUCCCAUGUUCUCCUCUAGACUGUCGUCCCUCUCGUGGCUCCCUCGUGGAUCUGAUCUGACCUUGGCCCUGCGCCAUCUUGUGGAGUGAGCGAUGGCUGCCCACCAAAGUCCGGCCAGGGACUAGUGCCAGGCCACACACCCACAGAAUAUUCAACCUCUCCUCAGUCCUCGUGACAACACCAAAAUGGGUGUCCUGAGCUGCAUCGCAUGGAUGAGGAAUCGGAGGCAGCCUAAGUCCAUAAGCACCCUGAAGGAAUGCUUGAAAAAAGUGUCAGGUUUCAGGAGAUCCUCCUGUAAAAACCAUGGCCAUAAGGUGAUCCUGAAGUUAGGACCUAGGAGAGACUGGAGGUAGGAAGGGACUAGCCAGAGCGUGCGUGAAAAUUACUCUGGCCGACUACAGCUGCAGUUGGCCCAGAAAACUCGGGGAAGUUCUUAUUUACAGUAAUCAGCCCACAAAGCACAGCUGCCCUCCCUUCUAAUGACCCAGGAAACUAACUUUUAUAACUUCUUAUGUAUGAUUUUUGCAACCGUCAGCCCUGAACUACCAGGAGUUGAACAAUAAGUGACAGCUUCCUUAAGGAACCAACCAGAGAAAGCCAAAUAUGGAGCUCUAACCAGCCACCAUUUUUUUAACCCGUUUUUGAAUAUUUUAAAAGAUUAUUUCUACUGUUUGUAUGGCCUACUUCUAAUUAGCCUCCUCCAGCUUCCCUGGGCCAGUGCCUGUAAUCAGAGCAUACCUGAAGCUUUCCUUGUUUCCAACAUAAAGCUUUCCUCCUGCCUUUGAGUCAGCCAAAACACUAGGGUACCAGUCAGUGUGGGAUAAGAUUCAGAGAGCCAAAGUUCCUAGAUAUUAUCUGUUUGGAGAAUGCUCAUUUGUUUGGUCUAAAUUGUUUGUGUUUUGAUUUCCCUCUUGUUAUAACUCCUUUAUUUUCACACCACCUGAGGGUCUUCUGAGACAUAUACUAGGUGACUAGAUGACUUACAAAUAUUAUUCCAUGACUAAGAAGAGGUCAGUGUGCUAUUGUAACACAGCAUGGCCUGCACAUGUGUUAGACUCUGGUGAUAGAUGGUCUCUUAACAAUUACUUAAAUUAUCAUACAAUUCUACAUUUGGGGUCAUUUUAUAAAAGAUCAAAUAAAUGGGAUGGAAUCCCUUACAUACAA